CACAGAGUUAGCCGAUGCUUAUUCCCCGGAUACCGUCAUUGCUUCUUCUCCGGGAAAAGAAGUUCAUGACCCGUAGGCCUUCUACCUUCACGCGGCAUUGCUGGAUCAGGCUUGCGCCCAUUGUCCAAUAUUCCCUACUGCUGCCUCCCGUAGGAGUCUGGGCCGUGUCUCAGUCCCAGUGUGGCUGAUCAUCCUCUCAGACCAGCUAAGGAUCGUCGCCUUGGUGGGCCUUUACCCCACCAACUAGCUAAUCCUACGCGGGCUCAUCCUUGGGCGAUAAAUCUUUGGACUUACGUCAUCAUCCGGUAUUAGCUUCCGUUUCCAGAAGUUAUUCCGAACCCAAGGGCAGAUUCCCACGCGUUACGCACCCGUGCGCCACUAGAUCCGAAGAUCUCGUUCGACUUGCAUGUAUUAGGCAUGCCGCCAGCGUCGUUCUGAGCCAGGAUCAAACUAC
rnacentral:rRNA from 1 species